UACGAAGGGGGCUAGCGUUGCUCGGAAUCACUGGGCGUAAAGCGCACGUAGGCGGGUCUUUAAGUCAGGGGUGAAAUCCUGGAGCUCAACUCCAGAACUGCCUUUGAUACUGAGGAUCUCGAGUCCGGGAGAGGUGAGUGGAACUCCGAGUGUAGAGGUGAAAUUCGUAGAUAUUCGGAAGAACACCAGUGGCGAAGGCGGCUCACUGGCCCGGUACUGACGCUGAGGUGCGAAAGCGUGGGGAGCGAACAGG
rnacentral:rRNA from 1 species